AUGUCUCCCAGUAAUGUCCAAGUUUUUAUCCCAGUGUCACAAAGAAAUACCAAUGAUGAAACAACAUGACCUACCCAGGACAACCUACAACGACCUGAAGACAUUUACUGGGGAGCUGUGUUGUUUUCAUAAUAUCUGCUAUCGAGUAAAACUGAAGAGUGGCUUUCUACUUGAUCAAAAAACAGUUUAAAAAGAAAUAUUAAUGAAUAUCAAAGGAGUAAUGAAACCUGGCCUCAACGCCAUUCUGGUACACACAGGUGGAGGCAAACCAUGGUUGUUAGAUGUCUGAGCUGCAAAGAAAAGAUCCACAUGAUUAUCUGGAGAUGUUUUGAUAAAUGGAGUACCUCAAUCUGCCAAUUUCAAAUGUAAUUCACAUUCUGUGGUACAGGAUGAUAUCAUCAUGGGCACUCUGACAGUGAGAAAAAAUUUACAGUUCUCAGCAGCUCUUUGGCUUUCAACAACUAUGACAAAUAAUAGAAAAAAAAAUUGAAUGA
rnacentral:lncRNA from 1 species